GGGUUUCUGGCUGCUCUGAUCGCCCUCAACACACAUCCAGGUCCUGUGGCUUGUGUGGUCGAAGGAGGUGGACACACGUGCCCUUAAAUAGGGCUGUGGUGUAGUCUGCGGGGGCAGGCUCUGCUUCUGGGUGUUCUCAGAUUGGGCAUGUCUCCUUAGAGCCUCAGUUUUGUCCUCCAGAAAAUGGGUCUGUGUAGCCAUGUUGUCCACGGAUGGCUUCCAUGGCCUCUGGGGUCAGCACAUUGUGGCCUUGUAGACAGAGUGGUGGCAGUGCUCCUGGGUGCCUUGUGAGGAGGUUCAGAGCCUGCUGGUGGCUGCCAUGGUGGGGCUACGGUGUCAGGCUGUCCCCCUCAGCUGUGCCGUCUCCAGGGGUGGCUAGUGGUUCUGUGCUAUGGUGCUGACCCCACGUUCUCUGUAGAAGCCACUAGCAUGUUCAUUGUUCAUCAGAGCCAGAAUGGCUGAGCCCUUGACUUCCCAGAUCAGUGACUUGUCUCUGGGCCUUAGUGUCCCCAUCUGUGAAAUUGGCAGGGUAUCAGGGUGGGCCAAGAGGGGCCAGAGCUGACAGGCCCUGAGGGUCCCGAGAAUGGGCCUGGCAAUGCUGGGGCUGUGUCGGUGUGGACCCCCCUCCCCCCACCACCUCUGGGAAAUGGUCCAGCCUCCCCGCCCCCGGGCCCAGCACAGAGGCCGUCCAGCCAGCACGGCGCCCACAGGAAGGCUGAGGCUGGGGUGGCAUCUGAGCGCCUUUUGCCUGCUUGCUCCCGUUUAUCUUGACCCCAGCCCUAAGAGGUGGGUCUUGUUUCUGGCUGUUUUGUGGACAAAGCGAGGAGCAGAGGCCGAGGAUGGCCCAAGUCCUGGAGCUGGUGACCUGGGCCUCUCGGCUCUUGCCUCCGAGGUCCUGCUGAGGCCCCACCACUGACAUACAGCUUCUUUGCACCCAGAGCUCCAGGUCAUGACUCAGGGAGGGAACAAAUGGCAUUUCUAACGAAGGACCCGGGUGCACAGGGACAGUUGAAUAUGAGGACAGCUGGGCCCAGAGGCUGAGACCCUGGGCAGUGGGCUGCCAGCCCUGCCCCUACCCCUGCCCUGGAUGGGGUGCUGAGGGGCCUGAGUGUCUGGCCCUGGUGUUCAGAAACUGACCAGGGGCAGCCCCAGACCUCAUCAGGCCCCCGACCUGGGAGCCAGGCACUCCCCUCGGGGCUCCUGCCUGGGAACCCUGCCCCUCGGAGGCAUCAGACCUUCCUCCGAGCUCCCAGCCCUCGGGUGAGGCAGGCCUGGAGGAAGGGCCCGGCUGGACCCUCAGCACCCGUUCCCAGGAGGGGAGGAGCUGCCCCCCUUCCUCUCGCAGGCGAGCUCCUAUUUUCAGCGGCUCAGAGGCGUGCUCUCAGGGCCUGUGGGCAUCGUCUGGCUGCCCGGGCACAGGGGGUGCUGCCCGCCCCCUGAGGGGGCCUCAUUGUUCUUCUGUCUUCCAUGUCCACUCUGUCAUUUCUGGUGUGGAGUUCGCCGUGGGGUGCAAAAGAGGCUUUAUUGAAAUUGUGUGAUUUUCCCCUCCUUUAAUUUUGAUGAAAUAUGCAUAACAUAAAAUCCAUCGUUUUAACGGCUUUAAAGUGCACAGUUGAGUGGCAGUCAGAACUCAGUGUUGUGCAGCCAUCACCACCGCCUGGUCCCAGGACUUCUCACCACCCAGAUGGAAACUCUGUGCCUUUAGCAGUCACUCCCCAUUCCGCCAAGCACCCACCGGUCUGCUUUCUUUCUCUACGGACUUCCCGGGUUUGGACUUUAGCGUGAAUUGAAUUGUACAGUAUGUGCCCUUCUGUGUCUGGCUGCCCUCACUCGGCGUGGUGCCGUCAAGGUUUAUUCAUGCUGUGGCGGGUGCAGGGCUUCCUGCCCAUGGCUGAGUGUUGCUCCGCCGUAUGGACGUACCACAUUCUAUUGAUGGACACUUGGGUUGUUUCCACCUUUUUUUUUUUUUUUGGCUGCUAUGAAUAGUGCUGCUGUGAACAUCUGUAUAGAGCUGCACAGGUUUUUUAACCACACACGAGGCCCUGGCAUCUCAGCCAUUGGGAGUGAUGCUGCUCAGGGGCCCCCAAACCGGGGGAGCUGGGGGCUCCAUGCACACAUCGCAGGGCUACCGGCCUGUUCUGUGUCUUCUGUCAUCAUGGCAGCCCUGUCCUCGGCUCCCUCCCUGCUACCAGGGAACCGGGAGUCGGCUGGGUUGGAGGCUGCCGCCCUCCCCAGCUCUCCCUUUGGGAAGGGCAGACCCGGGGGCUGGGAGGACGGCCAGGGAUGACUCACUGGCUGAGACAGGAGUGCGCUCCACCGUCUCAAGGUUGGGUCUUCAGUGGCGGCAGUGAGCUCAUCCGGGUCCUGCCCACGGAGACGGGAGCGAGCGAGUCCCCUGGGCACCGAGCGCGCCAAGGCCCUGCUCAGUGACAUUUGUGAUAAUGUGAUGAGCGCCAGUGUGCUCGUCUGCCGUGAAUUACAGCAAUCUGGACAAUUACCGCUCAGGGUGGCUGCUAAUGGCUGUGUGUUCCAGUCGGCGGGAGGGGCGCAGGGCAGAGGGGCAGGUGCCUGUAGCCCCCAGCGACUUCUCCAUAGUGGGCAGUGAUGGGAGGCAAGGAACGUUCUCGUGCCCCCAGCCUCAGGAACCCAGGACGGUACCCCAGAACCAGCUGUGCCCAAGGCAGAUGGCGCCCACGUGUCCUCCUACCCAUCUUUACAUCGACCUAGUGCCUCACUCCAUGCAGGACAGGGGUACCCAAGACAGGCCAGCCGUGGUCUCUCCCUCAGGGAGCUUGGGAGGUGAGCAGGCAGAUAUCCCCAGAGGCUUGGGACCACUUGCCUGCCCUGAGCAUCCUGGAAGACUUCCAGCAGCCAGGCCUUGUAGGAUUGAACCGCAGAGCAUCCCCAAUCCCCAGAGAGAAAGCAGACCUCAGCCUCUGGACCUUUUAUCUCUGAGACCUCAGGCAAGCCAGUCUACCUCUCUGUGCCUCAGUUGCUUCAUCUGUACCAUGGGAAUUAGAGUAUCACCUCUGUGUUAGUUUCCUGGGGCUGCCGUAACAAGGUACAAACGUAGGUGGCUUGAAAACGACAGAAGUGUUUUCGCUCACAGUCCUGGAGGCCGUUAAGUCUGUCUUAAGUCUGGCAUGAAGACGUCGCAGGGCUGUGCUAUCUCUGAGGGCUCUAGGGGAGGGCCCUGCCUUUGCUCUUCUGGCCUCUGGGGUUUCUGCUGGCCAUCCUCGGCGUUCCUUAACUGGUAGACAUUCCAAUCUCUGUCAUCGUUUUCACAUGGCUGUCUUCCCUCUGCGCAUCUCUGUCCAAAUUUUCCUCCUCUUAUGAGGAUCCACCCUAAUCCAGUGUGACCUCAUCUCAAGUUGAUCACAUCUGUAAAGACUCUUUUUCCAAAUAAGGUCACAUUCACAGGUUACAGGUGGGCGGACAUGAAAUUGGGGGGGGGGAUGACACCAUGUAUCCAGUACAGUCACAUUUCUGGGGUUUCCGUGAAAGAGUUUGGAAGCGUGAUGUCUUCGGCACUGAGUCCCCGUCACUGUUUGUCAUGAGAACCAGCUCUUCAGGCUUGCGACUCUGGCCUGGCCUGGCCCUGUCUCGGCCCCAUUUUCCCUCGUCCCCCGAAGUGCCGUCGCCAAGGGGCGUUGUGAGGGUGGCAUGAGCCAUAUUUGUGCGUAUACAGUAGGUGCUCAGAAGUGGCAGCUUGCAGUUCCGCACGCAGACUGUGGAGCCUUUCUCCCUGGGUUUGAGUCGCGGCUCUGGCCCUUAUGAGUGUGUGACGCUGAGCAGGUGGCUGUACCUCUCAGAGCCUCGACCCCCUACCUGUGCUGCUGGGGGUGGGUUGGAGGUGAGUGACCUGCUAGGCAGGUGCAAAGUGACACUUGGAAGAGGUUUCACAGCGCGGGGGGAAGGCCCUUGGGCUGACACCCAAAGCACAAAAUAAUAGUAAGUAAUACUAUUAUUAGUACCCCUGGGUGCCAGGUUCUGCCAAAGGCUUCGUGUGUUUUGAGUCACAUCAUCCCCACCAACCUUGUGAGGCAGAUGCUAUUACUAGUUUCUGUAUCCAGAUGAUGAAACUGAAAUCCAGAGAGGGUAUGUGAGCUGCCCAAGGUCACACAGCUUUUAAUCGGUGGGGCUGGGAUUUGAGUCCAGGCACUCUAGUGACAGGGUGGGAUGGGGCUGGUGUGAGGUGAGUCCACAGGCCUGGCUGCUGUUAAUCAGAUAAUGAGGGAGGGAGGGGCACCCCAGCAAAGGAGUGGCACAUGCAAAGGCACUGUAGCAGGGGCAGCGUGGUCAAGCAAGAACUGGUUGAAACUCAGCGAAGGGGAGAGAGGUGAGGGGUGGAGAGGCCAUUGGGAGGGCCGUCCCCCAGCCUUACCAGUUUGGCUAUUACUGUAAGAGCAUGGGGAGGGCCAUUACAUAGGGAAGGGUGGAACGGGGGUCAGGAGAGUGGCAGGGCUCCAGGUAGGCAGGUGGGCACCUGCUCUUCUUAUGUGCAUGGAGUCAGGGCUGCCUGCCCUGGGGCUCACACCGAGUGGGGGCUGAGCGUGUGCUGGGCAGCCCUGGGGAGUUGGCUGCCUGCCUUCGGGCCCAGCGCCACUAGGCUGGAACUUGAGGCUCUGGUUCCCCUGGGAAAGGUCAGCCUGGACUGGCUCACAGUCUUGACCCAGCUGUGUGGGAGGCCCAGGGCUCUGCUGGCGACUCUUCCUGGUCCCCAGCCCCUUUCUCUGGUAGACAGGGUGCCAGCUGUGGUGGGGCAGGGAAGCCCCCAGGCACACCAUUCCAGACUAGAAAUAGGCACUGGCCCAGCUCCGCACCACCAGCCCCUCCCUGGCCUCCAGUGGCCUGCCUGGUGGAGAGGGAGAGGGUGCUGCAGGGGCCAGGCCUUGAGGCCUCACAUAAGGUCCAUCGGGCCAGGUGCAGGCCAGGUGGACCCCAGAACUCCCCCGCGGUAACUCCAGCCUGACUCUGUCCAUGGGACUCGCCCCCUUUCUCGGGGAGUGAAGGAGAAACCACUAACGGCUCUGCGCCUCCGCAGAGCUUGUGCACACUGGCUGGUUUAAUUAGUUUUCACGGAUGGAGAGGCUGAGGCUCGGGGAGGGGAGGUGUGAGGCUCCAGCCACAGAGGUUGGAAAUGCAGGGCCUCCCCAUCCACAUGUCCAUCAUCAGAGCCGCACACCACCCUCACUGCAGGGACCACGGAAGAGCGGUGACCUGUGUGCUUAGUCUGAACAGCAGCGUACACACCCGCCAGGGCUCACGGCAGGCAGUGUGGUGCCAUGGUUAGUGCACGGGGUUGGCCGCUGACACACUGUGGUUCAGGGUCACUUCGGAGUAUUGACAUCAGUGAGCGUCCCACAGGAGACAGGGCCAACGCUUGGAGUGGGGACAGUUGAUGGACAGGCAUGGGGUGGCGUUAAAGGCUGUCAGAAGGGACCGUGCGGUGUCCCAGCGCCAAUUUCAGUGGGGAGUGUCGCCACCUCGGCUGGAGAGGGACUGCUGAGCUUCAUCUUCGGUGCACUGCCCCACGCCCUGGAUGCUUUUGGCAUGUGGGACAUAGGCUGCUGUGAUGGGAAGCAGAAGUCGGAGAGAGCUGGGAUUUCUGCAUGAACCCAGGGGACAGCCAAGGCGGGCUCCAGACCCCUCUCUUGUUCCUUACCAGCAGCUUUGAAGGUGAAGUCAGGCCUCUCCCAGCCCACUGGCACUCCCCGGAGCAAAAGCCACACACGGGCGUUCGCGUAGGGGAGGGAGACACGUGGCACGCUACACAGUCAUGAUGAUGCCCGUUACCACCUGGCAGGUGCUUGCUGGUUCCCGCACUUUGCGUGAAUGAGCUUACGUAAUCCUCCCAAGGGAUCCUUGAGGCGAGUUUUCCAUAUUUGUGAACACACGUGUGUGCACACAUGUACGUGCACACACACGCCUUCUGCUUUGCAGAUGAGGGGGCUGAGUGAUGAGCUGGGGCUUGCGCAGCAAAUAAUGUGGAGCCACUCGGCCCCAGGAGUGAACCGCUUGGCUGUGCUCUAUGAGAAAACCUGACAUCGAACGCGUAAGGCGGCGUUUUCCAAAAGUGAUAUAAUCGCUGAAGCUGAGGCAAAUUUUGAAAAGAGACGGAAAGAAAAGGUGCUGCAAGGACUCCCCCGCCCCCAGGACGUCAGAGCCUGCCAGUGGUGGGGCGGGGCUGGCUGUCGGUGCAGGCUUGCAG